UCCGGCUCCUCCCCCGGCCCUCUGAGGCGGCGCUGUCCCUGACCGAGCGGCGGGAGCGAGGCAAGGAGCACCACCGCGGCAGUCAGCCGGUACCAUUACUGUGACGAGGCCCCAUUAUACGGAGGACCCGGGAGUGAACAUCUGGGCUCAUUCAUAUGAAAACACUAAUGAUUUCCACACACAGAUAAAACAGGUAAGCAACUGCAUGAUUCACUAACUUAAACUGACCAGACCGAAGUCACCAGGAGAAAUGGCUGUUUUAUGGAUCUGGAACCCUGAAGCUCUCUUGAGUAAAAAGGCUC
rnacentral:lncRNA from 1 species